rnacentral:rRNA from 1 species
AACGAACGCUGGCGGCAUGCCUAACACAUGCAAGUCGAACGAUACCUUCGGGUAUAGUUGCGCACGGGUGCGUAACGCGUGGGAACCUGCCCUUAUGUUGGGAAUAACUCCCCGAAGGGGGUGCUAAUACCGGAUAAUUUCUUCGGACCAAAGAUAUAUCGCCUUUGGAUGGGCCCGCGUUGGAUUAGCUAGUUGGUAAGUUAAAAGCCUACCAAGGCGACGAUCCAUAGCUGGUCUGAGAGCAUGAUCAGCAACACUGGGACUGAGACACGGCCCAGACUCCUACGGAAGGAAGAAGUGGGGAAUAUUGGACAAUGGGCGAAAGACUGAUGUAGCAAGGCCGCGUGAGUGAUGAAGGCGUUAGGGUUGUAAAGCUCUUUUACACGGGAUGAUAAUGACAGUACCGGGAGAAUAAGCGCCGGCUAACUCCGUG